ACAUAGUAGCCCACAGGCUUAGCCCUGUCUGACUUGGCUUCCUACUUGGAGUAUGUACCAGGGAAGGAGGUGGGAGUGGGUGUAGGCAUGGGGGAUGGCUGAGGCUGUCAUAGAGACAUGGGGAUGGAGAUGGCACUGUGGCCUCACACUGGUAAGUACACAACAAGUCAUAUCUAGGCCAUGAAUCAGAUAGUUAAAUCUACAGUGAAGUGUGAAUCUAGAAUUUCAGCUGAAGUCUCUUUGACCCCAAAUUCAGCAGGCUUUAAUGCUGUUAAGAUAUGAGUAGGAAGAGGAAGGUACCAGCUUAUAGGGAAUCCUCUGUAUGUGAAGAGAAAGAGGGGGCUACAGCUUGCUAGAAUUGCAGUGCUUACAUAGAGAGACAUUUGAAGCCAACAUCAGAACCAGUGUGGAAAGCCUGGGUGUCUUUCCAAGGGAGUUAGUUUGAUUCUCUUGGCUCUAGUAAAGCCAUAAAGAUAUAUGCAUACAGUAGCUGCUGUUUGAGGAUCUGUUCAUCAGCCAUUUGUGUUAUCUUGCCCCUUUAUCAGCAGCAACUAUUGUAUUAUAGGCCCAUUGAGGAUCAUGUCAUCCAGAAAAUACUAGAAAGAACUGGAAUUCUGCGUAGAAAGAUCUGGCAGCAGAUCUCCUGCUGAGCUACUGCUAAUUUUUGUGCAUCUGAGACUCACCCCCAACAAGAGUGGAGAGCUCCAUUCUAUCCGGUGCCACCCCUAGUCCUUAUAGCACUUAAAAGGUUCUCAGACCCUCCUCAGGCCUCAAAUCCCCUUUCUGUACUUAAAUAACUCAUCUUUACUCCUUGUUCUCCUAAUUCAUGCACAGUGCUCACUACCCACUUGAGACCCAGAAAAUGUUUUCUGUGUCCCUUCACUGUGCACCCUUAGUUUGUGUACCCAGAGAACUCUCUGUUUCCCGGGGGAAUUCUCGACAUGUUAACCCCUUUUUUAAUUUUACAUGUGCUUCUUAAUCAUGUUUUUGUUAACUACCAUGGCCAUUUUCCUUACACCUCGUGUACCCACUUCAAGUUGCAGCCUUGGUCUGCAUGCUAGAGUUCGUCUGGUGCCCUUGUCACCCUGCUCUUCCCCCUGCCCCAAGCAAGAUGCAUGUAGCUUAUUACCACAUGUUUGCUGGUCUCCAUCAUUGAUUUUGAGCGCCUUGGGCUCACAUCUUGGCCAUUGACUGCAUGUCAUGAACGUCACCAGGAUUGAAUGAGAAAAUAAAUUGGGAGGUCCUUUGUGGUAACUGUUGCUACCACUAUAGGGUAGUGAUAAUUUGAGGCAACCCCUUCUUGCUGAAUCUGAACUCUAAGCAGCCAGGCUCGAAAACCAAGUUUCUUUGACUGACACCUUCACCUAUCUUGCAUUCUGCAGACUUGCUCUGCUGCCACAGGUACACAGACUCUGACAAUGCAGUCCUUCAUUCUGUAGAAGCCUGCAUCCUCAUGAGCAAUUCACUUCUGCUGAGAUUGUCAUGAGUCAGGAUCCUAACCAUUCACGGUGGAGUCAGAUUCCAGGCAUUUCCCAAGCCCUUCAAGUUCUCACGACAAGCAGAUUUUAGGACGCUUUGUAGUCCUAGAAAGCAAGCAUGUCCUUGAAGAAUCUGUCUUCAGAAUCUAGUACUACUGAAGAAAGUCUACUGAGAGCAUCUUAGAGCACUGGAGGCUGCUAGGGAGAGAAAUACCCUUCCAUGGGAAAAUGUCUUAGUCUUUGUUUACUUUAAAUACAAAGUUCAAGACCAGAACCAUUCCUAGGGUGUCUAAGGAAUCUGUAAUAACCCAGAUGUUUUCUCUUCUACCUCUACAAAGCCAUUCAUCUCUGGAU
rnacentral:lncRNA from 1 species